CCGCGGCAGCACUGAGGGAGGUGCUGCCGCCUGCCGGGAACGUGACGUGGUUUUAUUAGGUCAGUCUUUGUAACGGCUCCCAAACCUUGAAGUGGGGUUACUGAUUCCUUAGGUUCCUCCGGUCUCGUCACUGUUGCCAGACUAUCGUACUCAGAGCAUAGUAUUUACCGGGUUUUGACGCGUAACUAUUGCCAAGAAACAUCAGGAAUUAACUAUUUUAACGAUGAAUAUAAAUGAAUCUCGUUAUUGGGGUCCAGGAGACGGGUUUUGAGUCGAAAGUUGGUAAAUAUAAGAGGCUGAGUACGACAAUCUGGCAACGUUGGGUCUCGUAUCCUAGUGUUGUCCAAGGUGGUACUCGGUCAGGAGGCGCGGGUUUCAUGUUAUUGAGAGUAGUGAAUUGGAUAAAGGAAGGAUAAGUCUGAGGUGUUGAAGGAAUUGGAGGAGUAAAUGAGAGGGGGAAAAAAUCGGGAUAGAGGAAAAGGAAGAGAACAAGUUAGUAAUUGAGGUGAUUUGGUGCUGGUCAAGGUAGUGGAGAGUGAAGGAAAUAAGGACAGAGUAAUAGGAAGAUGAUUUAGUUUUAUGUUAUUGAGGAGAGUAGUUUAGAUAAAGGAAGGAUAAGUCUUUGAAGUGUUGAAGGAAUUAGAGGGGAAAAAAUCGGGAUAGGGGAAAAAGAAGAGAACAAGUUAGUAAUUGAGGUGACUUGGUGUUGGUAAAGGGAAUAAGGACAGAGUAAUAGGAAGAUGAUUUAGUGGAGGAAGGAAAAAAUGAAAAGGAAAGGCACUAGCAAUGGAGAAGGUGACGGCGGUGGAGAGGAAAAGGAGUGGAGAAGGAGAAGAUGACGGAAGCAGUUGUAGAGGCGGUUGGGAAAAGGAAUAAGGACAGAGUGAAAAGGAAGAUGAUUUAGUGGAGGAAGGAAAAAAGAAGAAGGAAAGGCACUAGUAAUGGAGAAGGUGACGGCAGUGGAGAGGAAAAGGAGUGGAGAAGGAGAAGAUGACAGAAGCAGUUGUAGAGGCGGUGGGGAAAAGGAAUAAGGACAGAGUGAAAAGGAAGAUGAUUUAGUGGAGGAAGG